AUUCAACUAAAGAGUCCCGAAUAAGAUGAAACGUACGUCCUGGAU
rfam:Schistosoma mansoni strain Puerto Rico chromosome 2, complete genome